rnacentral:rRNA from 1 species
ACGUAAUAGAUACCUGGUAGUCCACGCCCUAAACGAUGUCGACUGGUUGUUGGGGGUUUGACACUCUCAGUAAACGAAAGCUAAACGCGUGAAGUCGACCGCCUGGGGAGUACGGCCGCAAGGUUAAAACUCAAAGGAAUUGACGGGGACCCGCACAAGCGGUGGAUUAUGUGGAUUAAUUCGAUGCAACGCGAAAAACCUUACCUACCCUUGACAUGUCCGGGAGCCUGCUGAGAGGCGGGUGUGCUCGAAAGAGAACCGGAACACAGGUGCUGCAUGGCUGUCGUCAGCUCGUGUCGUGAGGUGUUGGGUUAAGUCCCGCAACGAGCGCAACCCUUGCCAUUAGUUGCCACCCGUAAGGGGGCACUCUAAUGGGACUGCCGGUGACAAACCGGAGGAAGGUGGGGAUGACGUCAAGUCCUCAUGGCCCUUAUGGGUAGGGCUUCACACGUAAUACAAUGGCGCGUACAGAGGGUUGCCAAGGAGCGAUCUGGAGCCAAUCCCGUAAAGCGCGUCGUAGUCCGGAUUGCAGUCUGCAACUCGACUGC